rnacentral:rRNA from 1 species
CCUACGGGGGGCAGCAGUGAGGAAUCUUGGUCAAUGGACGAGAGUCUGAACCAGCCAAGUAGCGUGAAGGAUGACUGCCCUAUGGGUUGUAAACUUCUUUUAUAUGGGAAUAAAAUGUUCCACGUGUGGGAUUUUGUAUGUACCAUAUGAAUAAGGAUCGGCUAACUCCGUGCCAGCAGCCGCGGUAAUACGGAGGCUCCGAGCGUUAUCCGGAUUUAUUGGGUUUAAAGGGAGCGUAGGUGGAUUGUUAAGUCAGUUGUGAAAGUUUGCGGCUCAACCGUAAAAUUGCAGUUGAAACUGGCAGUCUUGAGUACAGUAGAGGUGGGCGGAAUUCGUGGUGUAGCGGUGAAAUGCUUAGAUAUCACGAAGAACUCCGAUUGCGAAGGCAGUUCACUGGACUGCAACUGACACUGAGGCUCGAAAGUGUGGGUAUCAAACAGGAUUAGAUACCCGGGUAGUC